AACGAACGCUGGCGGCAGGCCUAACACAUGCAAGUCGCACGAGAAAGCACUUCGGUGUGAGUAUAGUGGCGCACGGGUGAGUAACGCGUGGGAAUAUACCCUUUAGUACGGAAUAGCCCCGGGAAACUGGGAUUAAUACCGUAUACGCCCUUCGGGGGAAAGAUUUAUCGCUAAAGGAUUAGCCCGCGUUAGAUUAGUUUGUUGGUGGGGUAACGGCCUACCAAGACUACGAUCUAUAGCUGGUCUGAGAGGAUGAUCAGCCACACUGGAACUGAGACACGGUCCAG
rnacentral:rRNA from 1 species